rfam:Triticum urartu cultivar G1812 contig290557, whole genome shotgun sequence.
UUUCUACUCCCUCGUCCGGAAAUACUUGUUCUAAAAAUAGGUAAAAUGGAUGUAUCUAUAACUAAAACAAGUCUAGACACAACCAUUUUAAGGACAAGUAUUUCUGGACGAAGGAAGUAUUAU